AUACCCGCUCCGCGAGUGGUGAGGACUAUUACUGGGCUUAAAGCGCCCGUAGCCGGCCGGGUGUGUCCUCCGUUAAAUCCACAGGCCUAACCUGUGGGCUGCGGGGGAUACUACCCGGCUUGGGGGUGGGAGAGGGCGGCGGUAUUCCCGGGGUAGGGGUAAAAUCCACUGAUCCCGGGAGGACCACCAGUGGCGAAGGCGGCCGCCCAGAACACGCCCGACGGUGAGGGGCGAAAGCUGGGGGAGCAAACGGGAUUAGAUACCCCAGUAGUCC
rnacentral:rRNA from 1 species